GGAGCUUGCUCCCUGAUGUUAGCGGCGGACGGGUGAGUAACACGUGGGUAACCUGCCUGUAAGACUGGGAUAACUCCGGGAAACCGGGGCUAAUACCGGAUGCUUGUUUGAACCGCAUGGUUCAAACAUAAAAGGUGGCUUCGGCUACCACUUACAGAUGGACCCGCGGCGCAUUAGCUAGUUGGUGAGGUAAUGGCUCACCAAGGCAACGAUGCGUAGCCGACCUGAGAGGGUGAUCGGCCACACUGGGACUGAGACACGGCCCAGACUCCUACGGGAGGCAGCAGUAGGGAAUCUUCCGCAAUGGACGAAAGUCUGACGGAGCAACGCCGCGUGAGUGAUGAAGGUUUUCGGAUCGUAAAGCUCUGUUGUUAGGGAAGAACAAGUACCGUUCGAAUAGGGCGGUACCUUGACGGUACCUAACCAGAAAGCCACGGCUAACUACGUGCCAGCAGCCGCGGUAAUACGUAGGUGGCAAGCGUUGUCCGGAAUUAUUGGGCGUAAAGGGCUCGCAGGCGGUUUCUUAAGUCUGAUGUGAAAGCCCCCGGCUCAACCGGGGAGGGUCAUUGGAAACUGGGGAACUUGAGUGCAGAAGAGGAGAGUGGAAUUCCACGUGUAGCGGUGAAAUGCGUAGAGAUGUGGAGGAACACCAGUGGCGAAGGCGACUCUCUGGUCUGUAACUGACGCUGAGGAGCGAAAGCGUGGGGAGCGAACAGGAUUAGAUACCCUGGUAGUCCACGCCGUAAACGAUGAGUGCUAAGUGUUAGGGGGUUUCCGCCCCUUAGUGCUGCAGCUAACGCAUUA
rnacentral:rRNA from 1 species